AUCGCUUCUCGGCCUUUUGGCUAAGAUCAAGUGUAGUAUCUGUUCUUAUCAGUUUAAUAUCUGAUACGUCCUCUAUCCGAGGACAAUAUAUUAAAUGGAUUUUUGGAGCUAGGAGUUGGAAUAGGAGCUUGCUCCGUCCACUCCACGCAUCGACUUGGUAUUGCAGUACCUCCAGGAACGGUGCACCCCCU
rnacentral:snRNA from 1 species